UUCAACUUUUAUUUUCAUAUAUUAAUUACUUCGCUUGUUUAAUUUUGUUAAAAACAUAUCUGUGUAAUAUAUAAAUAUAAAUUUAUCGUUAUUUUCUUACUUUAAAAUUGUUAUUAUCAUCUUUGUUCAACCUAACGAACAUAAAAAUAUGCAGAAGUCAAAGAACACGGAGAAAAGCAGAGCUCUUCUUGGAUCACUCGAGUUGAGUGAAAGAAGAAAGAGAAAAAGAAGAAGAAUUCAAAGAGGACAUGGAAGGAGAGCUACCUAAAGUAGAAAACGAUGUUAUCAGGAUGAUGAAAGAGAGUCGGGCCGGUAGCGGAGUUUAAGAAUAAUUGAAAGUUAUGAUUGCCGUUCUCUUCGCUAGCAAGAAGUGCAUCCGAUGUGCUGUCAACGGGAUCCCGUGGGACGCGAUGAGAUUUUGCGUGACCAAACGAAUAACGACGCCAACGACGACGACGACGAUGACGACGACGACGACGACGGCGACGGCGACGGCGACGACGACGACGGCGACAACGACAACUACGACGAUGACGAAGAUCUUUGCUUAGGAGCUUCCGCCUACGAGCAAUCUCGAGACAUCAAUAGGAAAAAAAGUGCAAAGCGAUUCUUUGGAGAAAAUAUACUCGCAUUCGUUUUCUUCUCAACGACCGAUGACGUCUCUCUCGAAAGCAUUGUCACGAGAAUUUCGUGGAGUAAGUACUACGAAAAUAACUCUGCUCUUUUUCUCCUUCCUCUUUCACUUUCUCUUUCUUUCUCUUUACAACGUGGAUAUAUCCGUACAUCGUAGAAACGAACUUUAUGCGUUUCGUAAUACUUCUCACUUCUCCAUUUAUACGACGAGCAACAAAUUGCAAAGAAAAGGAAAAGGACUAACUGAGAUAAACUUAAACAUUUCAUUUGAUCGUUCAAACGAUUCUAAAUGAUUUAAUAUGAAUCAUUAUUUGUUUGUUAAUAACAGUCACUUCGUCAUGAUGUUUCUUCAAUCUCCAUCUUCAGCUCUUACUAAUUUUCUAUCUCUAUCAUUCACCAGAAUGGUCUGGGUGCUUUCGUGACACUCGUAGGAAAAUCUGAUUACCGGAAACUUCUCGUCAUGGGUCGAAAACUUCGAAGGAAAAUUUACCGAGCCUUCCUUCCUUCACCGACUAGAGAAAAUUAGUUUAGACCAGACGGAUUAGCCCUUUGCACUGGAAGUACUCCUCUCAGACACAGAUAAUAUUUGACGUUGUACUCGAAGCGUGUCUUCUCAGGCAUAUUGCUAAUAUACUGCAAUAAAGAAUCGAUAUAUAUUGUGAUUUAUAAUUAAAAUCUUCUAUUCUGUAAUUGACAAGAGAAUUUUUGAAGAAGACAUCAUUUCCGUAAAUAGCCAAAAUCAGUUCAAGUGUUGUAAUAUUUAGCUAAAAUAAAGUUCGAAUGC